GGAGGCGAGUUGGCCCAAUAUUUUUUAAACUUGGGCUUGAGUAUUUGGGCCAAUGCAAAAAGGGCCAAAUGUGUGGCGCAUAUUCUUGUAAAAUAGUUAGGUCUAAAUAUGAAAGUCAUUGAGAGAGUAAGAAGAAGAAAAUCGAAUCGAAAGACUGGAGAUGAUGAAAGGGAAGCCAUUGGUGGCGAAGCUUGCGGCCGCGGCUAAGUUCGUGGUUCUUCCGGGAGCCAUGGUUGCGGCUGUCCUCUAUUCACCUCCUGAAUACAAGUCUGAUAAAUAUCCGAAAUAGGAACAUUUCCAUGCAAUGCUUAGAAAUCCAUUGUUAAAACGUUGCUGCUAUUUUUGAUGCAAUGGGUAUUUGAUAAUCACCAUAUAAUAAUUAAGGGCUAUGCUAUGUAGGUAUGUGGAGUGGACUUGUUUUCCUUUACUUUGAUCUAAAACUCUAGGAGUUUGAAUCUCUAUUUUUACUUCUGUGUAACAAACUUUGUUGAAAAUAAAAUGCUAUCCUGCAAAUUUAUGGUUGCCCCA